AGCUCCAAUAGCGUAUAUUAAAGUUGUUGCGGUUAAAAAGCUCGUAGUUGGAUUUCGGCGAUCAGGGGCCGGUGAUAUAUUUGUAUCUACUGGCCCAUUUGGUCGUAUUUUUGAAAGAGGGUUUGGGGUCCCCUUCACUGGGUGUCCUAGGUCGCUUUCAGGUUUACUUUGAAAAAAUUAGAGUGCUCAAAGCAGGCUUUAACGCUUGAAUAUUCGUGCAUGGAAUAAUAGAAUAGGAAGUUCGUUUCUAUUUUGUUGGUUUUAGGAUAACGACUUAAUGAUUAAUAGGGACAAUCGGGGGAAUUAGUAUUCAAACGACAGAGGUGAAAUUCUUGGACCGUUUGAAGACUAACUACUGCGAAAGCAUUUUCCAAGAGUGUUUUCA
rnacentral:rRNA from 2 species